GAUGAACGCUGGCGGCGUGCCUAAUACAUGCAAGUCGAGCGAACGGACGAGAAGCUUGCUUCUCUGAUGUUAGCGGCGGACGGGUGAGUAACACGUGGAUAACCUACCUAUAAGACUGGGAUAACUUCGGGAAACCGGAGCUAAUACCGGAUGAUAUUUUGAACCGCAUGGUUCAAAAGUGAAAGACGGUCUUGCUGUCACUUAUAGAUGGAUCCGCGCUGCAUUAGCUAGUUGGUAAGGUAACGGCUUACCAAGGCAACGAUGCAUAGCCGACCUGAGAGGAGGAGCAGCCAGACGGGGACGGAGACACGGUCCAGACGACUACGGGAGGCAGCAGUGGGGAAUAUUGCACAAUGGGCGCAAGCCUGAUGCAGCAAUGCAGCGUGGAUGAAGAAGGUCUUCGGGUUGUAAAGUACUUUCAGCGGGGAGGAAGGGAGUAAAGUUAAUACCUGUGCUCAUUGACGGUACCCGCAGAAGAAGCACCGGCUAACUCCGUG
rnacentral:rRNA from 1 species